rnacentral:tRNA from 2 species
AGUUAAAAAGCUUCAAGAAAGCAUGUAUUUUGAAAAUACAAGAUAAAGGUUAAAUUCCUUUAUUAACUU